UAGGGAAUCUUCCGCAAUGGACGAAAGUCUGACGGAGCAACGCCGCGUGAGUGAAGAAGGAUUUCGGUUCGUAAAACUCUGUUGUUAGGGAAGAAAAAAUGUAUAGUAACUAUGUACAAAAGAGACGGUACCUAACCAGAAAGCCACGGCUAACUACGUGCCAGCAGCCGCGGUAAUACGUAGGUGGCAAGCGUUGUCCGGAAUUAUUGGGCGUAAAGCGCGCGCAGGUGGUUUAGAAAGUCUGAUGUGAAAGCCCACGGCUCAACCGUGGAGGGUCAUUGGAAACUAAUAAACUUGAGUGCAGGAGAGAAAAGUGGAAUUCCUAGUGUAGCGGUGAAAUGCGUAGAGAUUAGGAGGAACACCGGUGGCGAAAGCGGCUUUUUGGCCUGCAACUGACACUGAGGCGCGAAAGCGUGGGGAGCAAACAGG
rnacentral:rRNA from 1 species